GUAGUCCUAGCUGUAAACGAUGCAUACUGGAUGUAGGAGGGCUCAACCCUUUCUGUAUCGGAGCUAACGCGUUAAGUAUGCCGCCUGGGGAGUACGCUCGCAAGGGUGAAACUCAAAAGAAUUGACGGGGGCCCGCACAAGCAGUGGAGCAUGUGGUUUAAUUCGAUGCAACGCGAAGAACCUUACCUGGGCUCGAAAUGUAGAGGACUGUACUAGAGAUAGUGCAUCCCGAAAGGGUCUCUAUAUAGGUGCUGCAUGGCUGUCGUCAGCUCGUGCCGUGAGGUGUUUGGUUAAGUCCAGCAACGAGCGCAACCCUUAUCGUUAGUUGCCAACGCGUAAUGGCGGGAACUCUAACGAGACUGCCUAGGUUAACUAGGAGGAAGGUGAGGAUGACGUCAAGUCCGCAUGGCCUUUAUGUCCAGGGCUACACACGUGCUACAAUGGUCGCCACAGAAGGCAGCGAAACCGCGAGGUGGAGCAAAUCCUAGAAAGGCGAUCUCAGUUCAGAUUGCAGUCUGCAACUCGGCUGCGUGAAGUCGGAAUCGCUAGUAAUCGCGAAUCAGAAUGUCGCGGUGAAUA
rnacentral:rRNA from 1 species